GGAUGGGUGGCCGAGCGGUUGAUGGCUCCAGUCUUGAAAACUGGCGUGGGGGCAACUCCACCGUGGGUUCGAAUCCCACCCCAUCCGCCA
rnacentral:tRNA from 1 species